rnacentral:rRNA from 1 species
AAGACCUUGUGCUUUUGGAGCGGCCGAUGCCUGAUUAGCUAGUUGGUAGGGUAAAGGCCUACCAAGGCUACGAUCAGUAGUUGGUCUGAGAGGACGACCAGCCACACUGGGACUGAGACACGGCCCAGACUCCUACGGGAGGCAGCAGUGGGGAAUUUUGGACAAUGGGCGAAAGCCUGAUCCAGCAAUGCCGCGUGAGUGAAGAAGGCCUUCGGGUUGUAAAGCUCUUUCAGUCGAGAAGAAAAAGUUGUGACUAAUAAUCACAAUUUAUGACGGUACCGACAGAAGAAGCACCGGCUAACUACGUGCCAGCAGCCGCGGUAAUACGUAGGGUGCAAGCGUUAAUCGGAAUUACUGGGCGUAAAGGGUGCGCAGGCGGCUCUGUAAGUCAGAUGUGAAAUCCCCGGGCUUAACCUGGGAAAUU